UACAGAGGUCUCAAGCGUUGUUCGGAUUCAUUGGGCGUAAAGGGUGUGUAGGUGGCGCCGUUAGUCGGGUGUGAAAUUUCGGAGCUUAACUCCGAAACUGCAUUCGAUACUGCGGUGCUUGAGGACUGGAGAGGAGACUGGAAUUCAUGGUGUAGCAGUGAAAUGCGUAGAGAUCAUGAGGAAGACCAGUGGCGAAGGCGGGUCUCUGGGCAUUACCUGACGCUGAGGAGCGAAAGUGUGGGGAGCGAACAGG
rnacentral:rRNA from 1 species